rnacentral:tRNA from 1 species
ACCUGGCUGGCUUAGUCAGUGUAGCAUGUGACUCUUGAUCUCAAGAUUGUGAGUUUAAGCCCCACUUUGGGUG